rnacentral:tRNA from 1 species
GAGAGAGUCAUAAAGGUUAUGGAACUGGCUUGAAACCGGUUUUUGGGGGUUCGAUUCCUUCCUUUCUUG